CAAAUCAAAAACAGCCACAACGAUAAUAAUAAUAAACUUAAGUAGCUCUUCACAAUUGUUUAAAAAAGUCAGGAAAAUUCAUUGGUCUAACAAUGUAUAGGAACCAUGACAUAAGCUCUAUUACUGACCAAUUAUUAGAUGUGUAUUCUUUAUUAACCCCAUUAGCAAGAACUAAUUUUUUCUUCACUGUUUUAAACACACACGUGGAGUGUGCUGUCUAAAUUACGUGUCCAUAAAUGCAGUCCCACAGAAGAACACCUGGGCAUGUGGUGUCGUCACCAAUGUGGGCGUGGCGACGGCGCUGGCCAGAGCAGAGGCCGCGAGAGCGAGCGCAGUAAUUCCCGGUGAACGAGCGCAUGAUGAUUUACUUUACCGGAGUUUGUCCGGCAAUGUCAUGAGUGAAAACGUCUCGGAAACCAUCUGGUCUACGCCGCUCAGAUAAAAUGAACACACCAAGAGGAUUUUUAAUGUUUUUGAAGACAAAGUAAACCUCGAGGAGCGUCUGUCUGGAUUAAACUGAAUAUAGAAUAUAAACAGAACAUCUCAGCGGACAGGGGGAGCAGUGAAGCUAUAAUCUGAGUAUGGGCCCUGAGGAGCUGCCUGAUUUUAUGGACACGAUGUCGAGCACUCCUCCUCUCUCUCCUCGUACUGUUGGUUCCUCAUUCUCACCUCCUUACUGCUCUCCACCGGUUGUGACCUUACGGCCCCCUGCCACUCGUCACCUGACUCAGCUCGACCCCUGGAGGAGACACAGCUGGGAACCUGGAGCUGUGGCACAGGGAUAUCCACCCAAUGACACACGCAGUGUGAGUCUUGAAGAUCUGGAUCUGGAUGAGAUUUCCUUAGUGAUAAACGGUGCAUUGAGGUCAAAAAGAGCUCGAGAAGCCCGCAGGUCUGUCACUCAAGCUUCCCUGACGUCACUUACCGAAGAGGAAGUUGGAGCAGAGCAUCAGGAACAUCAUCAAUCAGCGCUGGAGGAGCAGUCCAAUCAGAUGCAUGGCUGCAGUGCCUCCGCCCCUAGCCUGUAUAUGAUGCAGCAGAUGCCUAGAAGCUCCGCCCCUCGCCCCCGCUCCUACUGCCAUGGUCAGUUGAGUGUGUUUGGGGUUUCCAGCUUGUUCAAAAAUUAAUUCAAAUGAAACCAUUCAUUUAUGUUUUCUGUGUGGUUCUUUUUCUGACUUUUUUAUGUUAUUUUUGUUUUACAGUUUCCCCCCUAAAAAUAAGUGUUCAAAUAUUUUAUGUCAACUAUGUUUCUGACUCUUUAUUUAUGACAAUUUUGCGUUGCUCUGAAAAUGAAACCAAUAUUAAGAAGACAGCAUUACGUCACGGGCAAUCCAAGUUCUAUUUCCUCAAAUCAAUGAGAACAUUUUUCUUGUCUUGUUCGGUGUGAUCUAGAGAGUGUUUCGUACCACCAGAUUGGAGGAUCAUCUCACAGGUGUGACUCAGUACUGGCUUGUUUUAAUUGUAAAUAUCCUAACAUAUUCUAUUGUAAAUAUCCAUACUUAUAAUUUCUGUUACAGUAUAGACAGCGAGUUUGCUUCUCCGGGCUGGGACAUAGAUGGAGGGCAAAUAAAGGCUGAGGGGCACAAAAACA
ensembl:lncRNA